GAUGAACGCUGGCGGCGUGCCUAAUACAUGCAAGUCGAGCGAACAGACGAGGAGCUUGCACCUCUGACGUUAGCGGCGGACGGGUGAGUAACACGUGGAUAACCUACCUAUAAGACUGGGAUAACUUCGGGAAACCGGAGCUAAUACCGGAUAAUAUAUUGAACCGCAUGGUUCAAUAGUGAAAGACGGUUUUGCUGUCACUUAUAGAUGGAUCCGCGCCGCAUUAGCUAGUUGGUAAGGUAACGGCUUACCAAGGUAACGAUGCGUAGCCGACCUGAGAGGGUGAUCGGCCACACUGGAACUGAGACACGGUCCAGACUCCUACGGGAGGCAGCAGUAGGGAAUCUUCCGCAAUGGGCGAAAGCCUGACGGAGCAACGCCGCGUGAGUGAUGAAGGUCUUCGGAUCGUAAAACUCUGUUAUUAGGGAAGAACAAAUGUGUAAGUAACUAUGCACGUCUUGACGGUACCUAAUCAGAAAGCCACGGCUAACUACGUG
rnacentral:rRNA from 1 species